UAAUAGGUUUGGGACAAGCUCAAUUUAAGCUACGGAGGCAAAGCUGCUGCGCCGUCACCCUCUAAAGCAGAGAAGAAACAUUCACCGGCAGAAAGGGACGCUAGAUGUGAAGAGUAAAUUUUUGGGGAAUCUGCAGGCGUGACUUCGAAUUAGGGUGCAAGCAUUUGGGGAAGAGCCGUUUAGCAUCUUCGGCGGUGGCAACAGGAUGGUAUUCGAGGGGUCAAUGAUCGAAGCAGUGUCAGGCCCUCUCUCUUAGAAACGAAGACGCUCGCUCCCUUCUUCAAGUCGCUCACAGGUCCCCUUUUUAUCCCUCUUUCUCAUGAAAUUUUUCUGGAUUUUUUUAUUUUUUUAUAUUUGCGAUUUGGUUAGGUUGUCUUUGCAUAGUUAAAAUUAAAUUCAGAAUUGAGUAAAUGAUUUUAACUAGUCCUAAAAUGAGAGGAGAAAAAAAGGAGAGAGGUUAAGAGCUAAAAGAACUUUGCGGGAAUCAUACAGGGCAUGCCACCAGAUUGGCUCUUGUGCUUCCAAGCAAUCGGAUGGCUCUUAAACACUUAUUGAAGCUUGUGUUUGUCCUUUUUUGUUAUUUGACUCUUUAUCUUGGCCAGGGCCACUAUCACAUGCCUGAGACCACAGGACUCUACCUCUGUGAGGAACUCAGCACUAUAAGAUUUCCUGUUAUGUUUUAUUUUGAUGAUGAUGUUGACAUAUAUGGGGUAUAAUUAUAGUACAUUGCAUUUGAACCUGAUCAGAUAUCUAGACAACCUAGCCUUGGAGGUUGAUGAAGGUAAUAGGUGGUUGUGUACCUCGGUUGGUAAGAAAAGGAACCGUGGAUGUAAAUGACACUUGGGGGCUGUGAGAGUCGAAAGCAGUAAGUGUGGAACUAGGAUGAUGGGGAAUACGCUUGAUGGUUCUUCUUUGGGUUGCCUUCGGUUGGUUUUAAGAACUUUGCCAAUCAAUUAACUUGGUGUUUGUAACAAUUCAGAUUUCUUGGUCAAAUAGGGAGAGUUUAGCCGAGGAGUGAGUGGAUGGGGUGUGGCAAUUUGUGGGGCAUGUGGCAAUUCUUGGUCAAAAUUGGUUACUGGUACAAUGGUAGUGAAUUUCCCAUAUCAGAUAUAAACUCUACCCUCUAUACUCACCUGAUAUGCGCUUUUGCUGAGGUGAACACUUCCUCUUAUGAGCUCUCUGUCUUCUCAUCAAAUGAGCAACACUUUUCUACUUCCAUCCAAUCCAUGAUUACCAAUGUUACUUCUAGGAAACCCUUCAUUCAAUCUUCAAUAAGAAUGGCUAGGCUUUAUGGAUUAGACGACGUUGAGGUUGUCCUAAAGAAGGUAUCAUAUGCCAGGGAAAAGAAGCUACUUGGUUACCAUGUAUGGCUAGUUUCCAAUGAUGACGACAAGUGGACACUUACAACUGCAGCAGAUGUCUUUUGCGUGCUUAAGGACUUAGUAAUAAUGGACUGAAUCGAUUGCUUGGCAAUUCUCUUUGCUGUGGGGAGUACUCUUGUCUGUGAUGAUCUUGAGGAGGCAAAAGUUUUGAGCUAGAGUGGUGAGAGGUUUAAAGGAACUUCCCCCAUCGCGGACAGUUUCAAAUUGUCUUAUAAUGCUCCUGAUGAAGAAGAAGAUGAUGGUCAGAGACAGAGAAAAAUGCCAAGGAGGAUUCAAGUCAAGUAGAACCUUGACCAAAGAAAAAUAUUUCAAGUUCAGUCACUUAAAAUCAUUAUUCAUGUGUAUGAAGACGAGGCUUCUGAUUCCACGUUUGCAAAGCUUAGCACUCUUAGGUUUGGGUACUUGGUGAAGUUGAAUAUUAUAUCUUUUGUAAAAGAAGGAUUGUGUAUUGAUGUGAAGUUAAAAAAUGACUGAGAGGAAAUUGUUUCGUUGAAUUAUGAAGUCAUUUUUACAUUGUGUAUUGAUAUGUUAAUUUUUU